UAUUGUUCUCUAUUCUUUGGAGGUUGGAAAUCCCCAUUUCUGAAACCCUAGGUUGGUUUCUUCCAUAAGCUCGACCUCCAAUUGCCUUCCGGACCUGAUUCCUUGCAAUUGGUUCUUGGUAUAUAGUUCUGCAUCUGCAUCUGCAAUCCAGUAUAGAAGAAGCUAGUUUUAACAAUCAGCCAAAGGUCCUAGUAAGUAUUCAAGAGAACAGCACAAAUCUUGUCUACCACAUCAACAAAUCCUCAAUUCUCCCAGUCAUCCUUCUCACUUAACAAUGCAUUUGCACUAGAUGCUCU